GAGCUUUAUGUGUCCAAAUUGAAACGGGAUUGUAUUUGUUUCCAUGGAAUGAGAGGGUAAAAGAGUGGAGAGCAGCAGGCUGCUGACAGUUCAAAUGAUUCAAGAAUACAAUAUAAAAUUUUCCAUUUUCUAAUAUUUGCUUUAGCUUGGGUAACUAAAACAAAACUAAAGUAUAUGGUAAAGUACAAAAACAGUUAUCUUAAAUUACAGAACAGUCAUAUCACCUUCCACUGCCGGUUUGCGGUUGAGAAAAGUAACAAUUGAUAUACUUGUUGCACCUUUAAACAAAUUUCAUCAUGAUUUUUGGGGCAAUGAACAUACACAAAUUCUGUGCAAAAGAAAAAAAAAGAAGCAUCCAGAAAGUUUGAGUGAUAUCCUUAACUCUUGCAGCUUUCUGUAGAAAGUAGAAACCAUAAUCAUCACAUUUCAUACUCUUGCUGGCUUUUGCAGCACUGCAGAUAAAUAAAUCUCAGAUUGGCCUGAGCCUGCUGCUGUAUCUACCUUCUCUCCCACAACCCAUUUCAGCUUUUUAUAACCAAACCGCUCUAUCAAUCGAGUCAAAGUCUUCUUCUUCUCCUCAUCAGUGCAACAGAAGUUAUCCAACCAAAACAAUCCACCAGCUCUCAAAAUGCGAUCAAUGUCAAACAUUAGGAACUCCAAUUUUUCAGGUUUGGCCCCCACAUCUAGUCCACUAGAUGCAUGGAUCAAAUCAAACACAUUAUCAUAGAAAGGGAACCUAUGAUCUAGGCUCAAAUACAGAGGGAAAAGCCCUCUUGCUGCAAUGAAUUCACUAAAUGGAGCAUCGAUGUUCAAAGUGUCAGUGAUCACAGUAACAUUUCUCUCUGCCAUUCUAGCAGCAAAACUUCCAGACCCGCCACCAAUAUCAAAUCCUAUUCUAAUUCCUCCACUUGCUAAAGCUAACACAUCAUCAAUAAGAAAAUCACUCUUGCUUUUAGCCUUAACAAACUUUUGAUUUUCAUAUCCAUUAGCCAAAUCAAAGCAACCAACACAUUCCCUACUCAAUUUCUUUUUAUUCAAGCACUCAAAAUUCUUGCAACCAAGACCACUCCAAGUUAGUAUCUUUUCACUAACAGGCUUCCAUAAAGAAAUAGGAAAAGGAGAAAGACCCACCUUGGGAACAGGCUUGGCAAAGCAUCUCCUUCUAGGCAAAGGCUCGCAUCCACGCAAAAUCAGUUUCUGGCCAAGGCUCCAGUCAUCAGGACAAGGCCCAGAGACCUUGUAAGUCAUGUACUGAGACAACAAAUCUGCAGAUUUCUCACAAGAAUGCCCCACAGAUGCCACCAUUUCAGUAAUCCCAGUUCUUGAAUCUUUACCAAGAGGCAGCUGGUGAUGUUGUAGAAAAAUUUUGAGCUCAUUUGCAAUAUUGGGUCUUGAAAUAUCCAUGGUUUCGUAGCCCAAGAGCUCCUUUUCCAUCUUUGCAAGUUUUUUUUGGGAAGAAUCAAUCUCUCUUAGGAUUAGAGAGACUUGUUCAGAGAUUAGAGAGAUGUUCUUGUGGGUAUUGUGAAAGAUAUGAUUUUGAUGAUGUUUGGGCGAGGAUGUGAAGGCAUAAAGAGCAAAAAGAUUAGUGGAGAUAACAGAGAAGAUCAUAAGAAUGUUAACUGCUGAGGAACACACAGUUGCUCUCUUGAAUCUGGCAGUUCCAUCUCCUAUUUUCAGCGAGACUGAUCCCAUCUUGGCCGCCUUCCGCUUCACAGAGAGAGAGAGUGGGGUUUGGGUUGGGGUACUGAGGGAGAUUGAGAUUUGUUAAGUGGAGCAAGUGGAAAUAUCUUUAGAGUAAGAGAUUAUUGGAGUAUAAUUAGGAUGAGAUCAGUCCAAUCUAGCUUUGAGAAAGACAGAGUGAGAGAGUUAAGGAAAUAGUUGUCGGUUGCAGACAUGCAGACUUGGGCUUUCACUUAAUACGGUUCCUCAUAUGCAGGGGUGGUCACGGGCGGAUUUCUGUUCAUGGCUUAAGAGAUUUGAACCGCACUGAGUAAAUCGAUUUUUC
rnacentral:misc_RNA from 1 species